rnacentral:snRNA from 1 species
GUGCUCACUUCGGCAGCACAUAUACUAAAAUUGGCCCCUGUGCAAGGAUGACACACAAACUUGUGAAGCGUUCCAUAUUAAA